GCCCUCCUCUGGACCCGCUCCAACAGGUCCAUGUCUUUCUUGUGCUGAGGACUCCAGAGGUGCAUGCAGUACUCCAGCUGGGGUCUCACCAGAGCAGAGCAGAGGGACAG